rnacentral:lncRNA from 1 species
GGAUUUCUCUCCUUAUGAAAGGAAGGAAUAGAAAUUGAUGGGAUCACACCUGCACUGCUACUCCAUCAGAAACAAUCAGAUUGUAAAUUAUAUUAUUGCUAUUAUCUCCAAAGAGUGGCUGAAAUAACUCCUGGGAAUACCUGAAUGCUGGAGGGAGAAAUAGAUGGAGGAUGAUUAUUUCAGAAACUGGAAUCCAAACAAGCCCUUUGAUCAAGUGCUGUCCUCUUCAUGGCUAGUUGUUGAUGUGUUUUUCUGCCUGAAGCAGCAUCUGUGAACC